rnacentral:rRNA from 1 species
GAUGAACGCUAGCUACAGGCUUAACACAUGCAAGUCGAGGGACCGGCGCACGGGUGAGUAACACGUAUCCCACCUGCCCUUUACUCGGGGAUAGCCUUUCGAAAGAAAGAUUAAUACCCGAUGUAAAGGAUGGGGAUGUGUUCCAUUAGGUUGUUGGUGAGGUAACGGCUCACGAGGCAUUCGAUGGAUAGGGGUUCUGAGAGGAAGGUGCCCGACAUUGGAACCGAGAAACGGUCGAAACUGCGACGGGAGGAAGCAGUGCGGAAUACUGGUCAAUGGGCGUUAGCCUGAACCAGCCAAGUAGCGUGAAGGAGGAAGGCUUAUGGGUCGUAACCUUCGUGUUUAUAAGAAUAUGUAGUAUAUGAAUAAGGAUCGGCUAACUCCGUGCCAGCAGCCGCGGUAAUAC